rnacentral:rRNA from 1 species
GCUUGCUUCUUUGCUGACGAGUGGCGGACGGGUGAGUAAUGUCUGGGAAACUGCCUGAUGGAGGGGGAUAACUACUGGAAACGGUAGCUAAUACCGCAUAACGUCGCAAGACCAAAGAGGGGGACCUUCGGGCCUCUUGCCAUCGGAUGUGCCCAGAUGGGAUUAGCUAGUAGGUGGGGUAACGGCUCACCUAGGCGACGAUCCCUAGCUGGUCUGAGAGGAUGACCAGCCACACUGGAACUGAGACACGGUCCAGACUCCUACGGGAGGCAGCAGUGGGGAAUAUUGCACAAUGGGCGCAAGCCUGAUGCAGCCAUGCCGCGUGUAUGAAGAAGGCCUUCGGGUUGUAAAGUACUUUCAGCGGGGAGGAAGGGAGUAAAGUUAAUACCUUUGCUCAUUGACGUUACCCGCAGAAGAAGCACCGGCUAACUCCGUGCCAGCAGCCGCGGUAAUACGGAGGGUGCAAGCGUUAAUCGGAAUUACUGGGCGUAAAGCGCACGCAGGCGGUUUGUUAAGUCAGAUGUGAAAUCCCCGGGCUCAACCCGGGAACUGCAUCUGAUACUGGCAAGCUUGAGUCUCGUAGAGGGGGGU